UACGAAGGGGGCUAGCGUUGUUCGGAAUUACUGGGCGUAAAGCGCACGUAGGCGGGUCGUUAAGUCCGGGGUGAAAUCCCGGAGCUCAACUCCGGAACUGCCUUUGAUACUGGCGAUCUUGAGAUCGGAAGAGGUGAGUGGAAUUCCCAGUGUAGAGGUGAAAUUCGUAGAUAUUGGGAAGAACACCAGUGGCGAAGGCGGCUCACUGGUCCGGUACUGACGCUGAGGUGCGAAAGCGUGGGGAGCAAACAGG
rnacentral:rRNA from 1 species